rnacentral:rRNA from 1 species
AACGAACGCUGGCGGCAUGCCUAACACAUGCAAGUCGAACGAGACCUUCGGGUCUAGUGGCGCACGGGUGCGUAACGCGUGGGAACCUGCCCUUAGGCUCGGAAUAACUCCCCGAAAGGGGUGCUAAUACCGGAUAAUGUCUUCGGACCAAAGAUUUAUCGCCUUUGGAUGGGCCCGCGUUGGAUUAGCUAGUUGGUAGGGUAAAAGCCUACCAAGGCGACGAUCCAUAGCUGGUCUGAGAGGAUGAUCAGCCACACUGGGACUGAGACACGGCCCAGACUCGUACGGGAGGCGGCAGUGGGGAAUAUUGGACAAUGGGCGAGAGCCUGAUCCAGCAAUGCCGCGUGAGUGAUGAAGGCCUUAGGGUUGUAAAGCUCUUUUACCCGGGAUGAUAAUGACAGUACCGGGAGAAUAAGCUCCGGCUAACUCCGUG